rnacentral:lncRNA from 1 species
GGAGGAUGGAAACGGGAGAGGGGAGGCCAAAAAGAGAUGGUCACCAGGUCAUCACGGAAAAGAAGUGAGAGGACACCUGUGGAGGUUUGGGUUUUGGCAAAGACCCUGCAGACGCUGAAGGUGCAGAGACGUGAACAAGGACUCUCAGGCUGAAGGGCAGGAGAGGGGAGCCCUGAGCCCAUCCUGCCAGUGACCUUGGGCAAGUCACAUGUCCUCUGGGAGACCCAGCCCCUCCCUGCGUACUGAAGGUUUGGAGCAGCUCUCAAUCCUUCCUCUGCUCGCCUGAAGGACGUGGCAUUCCCUCCACAGGGGCGAAGGUGCAUGGCCGGACAAGUCAGGGAUGCUUGCCCAAAGUCACUGCAGCAAAGUCGGGCAGAGGUGUGGCAGGUCUGCAGUGGGGGUCCCGGGACCCUACUUCCCUCCCCAACUGAUGAUCAGUCCUCUCAGCCUGGAGGAGACGCUCUCAAGAGGCUCACAAUCUUGGUUCCAGUCUUCACCAGCCACAAGCCCCGAGGCAAGUCCAGAGCCCCUGAGCCUCCCUCUCCCUGUCUGAUAAGCUAUACCAACAAAAAAGAAAAUGAACCUGUGGACCCCGGCCGAGGUGGUCGAGUCGCAGUGCUGAAGAGCAGCUCAGUGGAGGAGGCAGCAGGCACGGGGGCCAGAGAAAAUUAUCUUUCUAACCACUACGUUGGUACCAUAAUCACCUUCGCACAGCAGCUCUGGUUCCUGGGGGAGGGGGCACUGGAGGGCCACUUGGUUUGAUUCCUUUAGUCUUUUGACACCGCCUGUCAUGGAGGAGUGCGUAAUUAGGCCGCACUGUACCUUCCCAGCAGCCCAAGCCGCACGCACCGCACAAGAUGAGAGCAGGUGCUGCUGCCGCGGCCGGGCUGGGCCGGGCUCUUAAUUGGCUUAUGUGCUUCUCUUGGAGUCUGUCCCGGUUUUCCAGGGAUGCAGCUACCGCCUGGACGGUGGUGAAGAUUGCUCUCUCAAGCGGUCUCUGAGGGACCAG